AAAAAACAAAAAACCUACUUAGUAUCUCAAAGAAACCCAUGCAGUAAAACACGGUGCCACCGAACAGGUGAGUGAGAACUCUGUGCCAAGAGUUCAAGCAGUAGGUCCCAAGUUCUAGUGCAAAAUCUGAUAUGUGAAAUAACUUACUCAUCUUAGACUAACUGAGGAUUUCAACUUGGCUGGGUUUUAAUACCAAAAUUGGAAAGGGCUACCAGUGAAAUCCUACCUGAGUGACAAACACCCUCCCCCUCUACCCUCUGACUUAGAAGGCCACAAUCUAGUUUUUUAGAUUGCGGUUCCCUCCAUUCUGCAGGCAAGUUUUUUUUUUUUUUUAACAGACCUUUUAUAAUGGUGUAAAAGGUCACUUAGCAGAACUGAGAAAUGCUUAUAUGGGUCAUGCCUGGCUAUCCUGUCAAGUAAUUUAUUAGAACACACUAUCAACCUCAAACCAAGAAUAGACUUCAUGACCCCUGGGACCUCAAUUCAUCCCAAACUUGUAUAAGCUAGGGACAGUUGUACUUCCAGAUAUUAAGUCUACUGCUGUCUUUUACCUGUAAGCCGGUUUUGAUGUGGCUAUGAGUCCCAGAUAAAAACUGAAGAAAAUUAGGGGGCCGAAACAGGACAUGACAACUCUGGAGUCAACCUUCACUAGGAGCACUUCAAGUUCUUAAGUUAAAACUUUAUGCAAAGCACAUUAAAUAAGUGGCAUAACUGUUGAUACAAGUUGUUCUUAAUCCCCUCUUCCUCAAAAGGUGACUUCAAAUAUAUAUACUUACAUUAAGUAUUUUAUGCAUUAACAUAUAAAGCAAAAGUUUCUCAACCAUACUGGCUGGACACUUGCUUUCAGCCAUGUGAUAAGACCUCCUAUACCAGCAUUUCCUUCAUUGUCUUGUUUCCAAAAGACAAGUUUUGAGUAAAUGAGUUUACUGACAAGUUGCUAAUCAGCAAGGCUAUUUUUUUCUUUUUGAAA